CUUCAGAUUUUACCGUUGCCUUUAAAAGAUUUCAUUGUAAAUAUUAAAAGUCCUGAAAGAAAUAAUUAGCAUUCAGUGAUCUUAAUCCCAGAGCAGCUGUCUGGACCACACCAAAAAUAAUCAGAGCAAAAUUGGUGAGGGAAGGCGGCUGUAUUAUUCCCUAAACUGUUACCAUCCUGGACCGAAAAACCCGUCGAAAUCGGAUCUAUUCUUCGCAUGUAAUUGACCGGAGAAACGUGGAUCUUACAUGGUCACGUUUCCUUUCCUCCUUUCACAAAACAGGAACGUCAUCAAACGCAUUGGCAGCUUGUACAGACCAUUGUGGAUGGCAAGGCGGCCAGGGCUCUAUCGGCGAUUGCAGGGACCUCCUUUUGAUGCAUUGGACGAGGCUCCUUCUUUCUCUCCACCACCGUCCCCACCUUCAUUUUCCUCCCCUUCUGUCCUCCUCCUCCUCUGACUGUUGUUCUCUCUCACAGGCAUUGACAUUCAACCAUCGCAAGUCUGUCGCACUCUCGCUGGCAGGAAAAAAUAAAAAAUAAAAAAUC